AAGAUGAGGAAUGGAAGAACUCUCUGUACUUUGCUGUGAGGAAAGUAAAGGCUGUCAUUUGGUUGUUUUCAGUUUAAGGGACUCCAGUUACCCGAGGAGCGGAAGGCUCAUGGUUUUGGGAGUUCACGAGAAAAGCCUCGGAAUCCAGGUAGGGGACCCGAAACUCCCUUGAUUAGUGAUUUUAUUGUUUAAUAAAAUGUUAAAUGCAUAUAUGAGAUUGCAUGAUUUGGUUAUCACAAAUAUGGUAACCGUUAUAUGAGUUAUUGAUGGCUUGAGAGUGAGAGGGGCAUAGUGACUUCCUUGGGCUUCGAUUCCCUAAACCUCCGGAGGGGCUGUAUGGACUGAGGAGUGUCUAACAUGUUUUGAGGUGUGGCACUUCCUCUAGGCGAUAUGGCGUAAGUGGACACUCUCGCUACAUUUACCUGUUGUACACAUAUAUAGUGAGGUAAGUUGGAUAGUGGGUCCAGAAGAGGACCGGCCAUCAGGUACAGACUUAUGGCGCCACAUUUAUUUGAAAAUUAAAUAUUCUUUUCAAAUGUUUGUCGUUCAUUAUAAAUUUGGUUUUAAGCAUAUUUUCAUACUGGAGCUCCACUUUAUGUUUUCAAACCUAGUCAUGGGUAGUUUCC